UGAAUACGAGACGCUAAGGCGUCGAAGUAGUGUAUGUCAUACUUCCAAGAAAAGCUUGCACUGUCAUAGAUAAAAAACGCCUGUACCAUAACCGACACAGGUGGGUAGGUAGAGUAUACUAAGGGGCGCGAGAUAACUCUCUCUAAGGAACUCGGCAAAAUAACUCCGUAACUUCGGGAGAAGGAGUGCCUUGUUCGUAAGGUUGCAAUAACAAGAUCCAAGCAACUGUUUAUCAAAAACACAGGUCUCCGCUAAGUCGUAAGACGAUGUAUGGGGGCUGACGCCUGCCCAGUGCCAGAAGGUUAAAGAAGUUGGUUAGCAAUUGCGAAGCUGAUAACUGAAGCCCUGGUGAACGGCGGCCGUAACUAUAACGGUCCUAAGGUAGCGAAAUUCCUUGUCGGGUAAGUUCCGACCCGCACGAAAGGCGUAAUGAUUUGGAUACUGUCUCGGAGAGGGGCUCGGUGAAAUAGACUUGUCUGUGAAGAUGCGGACUACCUGCACCAGGACAGAAAGACCCUAUGAAGCUUUACUGUAACUUGAAAUUGAAAUUGGACUUUAUUCGCGCAGUAUAGGUGGGAGGCGUUGAUUAUAAUCUUGUGGGAUUAUUGGAGCCAUCAGUGAGAUACCACUCUUGUAAUGUUAGAUUUCUAACUUUGAAUCAUUAUCUGGUCAAAGAACAGUUUCAGGCGGGCAGUUUGACUGGGGCGGUCGCCUCCUAAACGGUAACGGAGGCGUACAAAGGUUUCCUCUGAACGGUUAGAAAUCGUAUCUAGAGUGUAAAGGCAUAAGGAAGCUUGACUGUGAGACCUACAAGUCGAGCAGGGACGAAAGUCGGUCUUAGUGAUCUGACGGUACUGAGUGGAAAGGCCGUCACUCAACGGAUAAAAGUUACUCUAAGGAUAACAGGCUGAUCUCCCCCAAGAGUUCACAUCGAUGGGGAGGUUUGGCACCUCGAUGUCGGCUCAUCGCAUCCUGGGGCGGUAGUACGUCCCAAGGGUUGGGCUGUUCGCCCAUGAAAGCGGUACGCGAGCUGGGUUCAGAACGUCGUGAGACAGUUCGGUCCAUAUCCGGUGUAGGCGUUAGAAUAUUGAGAGGAGCCUUCUUUAGUACGAGAGGACCGAGAAGGACAUACCUCUGGUGUACCAGUUAUCGUGCCAACGGUAAACGCUGGGUAGCUAUGUAUGGAGUGGAUAACCGCUGAAAGCAUCUAAGUGGGAAGCCCACCUCAAGAUAAGUAUUCUCAC
rnacentral:rRNA from 1 species